rnacentral:rRNA from 1 species
UACGAAGGGGGGCUAGCGUUGCUCGGAAUCACUGGGCGUAAAGCGCACGUAGGCGGACUCUUAAGUCGGUGGUGAAAUCCUGGAGCUCAACUCCAGAACUGCCUUCGAUACUGAGAGUCUCGAGUCCGAGAGAGGUGAGUGGAACUGCGAGUGUAGAGGUGAAAUUCGUAGAUAUUCGCAAGAACACCAGUGGCGAAGGCGGCUCACUGGCUCGGUACUGACGCUGAGGUGGCGAAAGCGUGGGGAGCAAACAGG